rnacentral:lncRNA from 1 species
GGAGUGAUGGAGCCGCACGGAAUACAUCGUAGGAGGUGGAGCAGUAUCAUGGUCGUUGCUGCGGCCCACCAGUCGGCCCAGGCCUGUCGGUCGAAAUUCAGCUGGAGUGUCUGGCGGAGAGAUGUGGCUGGCCACCCGUCUGAGAGGAGCUCAGAGUCCGGCUCCUGUAGGAGUCGGGACAGAGUCUACCUGUGGUCGAGGUCAAGGAUGAAGCCCGGCUCCAGUGG